rnacentral:tRNA from 1 species
CCCAUAGCUCAAAGGUGGAGCAGGGGACUCAUAAUCCUUUGGUUGCGGGUUCGAAUCCUGCUGGGCCC